ensembl:lncRNA
AACAUUAAAAAUAAUACAGAAAUUACUGUUGUUGUUGUUGUUGUUGUUAUUCUGUGAUCUGAUUGGCCGCGUUGACUGCCGGUCACUCCUCUUCCCCCGCCUCUUUCUCUCCCAGCAUCCUUUGCGCCGCUGUGACUGACUUGCUCAGUUAGCCAGUUAGCCUGUACAUGCUGCUACUACGUUGAUUUGUUUUUCUUUCUUCUGGACACUCUCAGAUUCUGUCGUUCGUCCCGGUGAGUCUGUAUUUACCUCGGUUGUGUUUUUAAUACAGUUUGUGGGCGCGUGUUCACCAGCGAGACUGACACUCUACACUGUAACUGUAAACGCACCGGUUAGCUUGUCAGGCUAAUUAAGCUAGCGGCACCGCCGUUAGCGCCUAAACGGGAUCAUUUACGGCUGUUGAAUUUGAUAUUUAAUGACGCUGUAGAAUAUAUUUCAGCUUCUGUGGUGUGUGGAGUCACGUCAACUCGCCUCGGGGAUUAAAACGAGUGUAGUAAAGGACGAGGUAAACGAGCUAGGCAGCGUUUAGCUGCGCUGUUCCAUGCCAUGCUAAAGAGACACAGACUCGGUGUCCAAACCGCUUCUUGCUCCCUUAUUGAGUGCCCUAAUUAGGGUGUGACAUAAUGGCCUUCACGCGCUACAUAGUGUCAAACCUGUUCUACAGACCUCCGUUUAGGAUUCAGCCACUAACCCGGUUUCUUAUCUUAUCAUUAUCCAGUUUUCUGCUUUUUAUUUUCUUUUUCUUCUUCUCACGCCAUUUUAUUUACUUUAAGUUGUUAUUCUUGCACUACCUUCUUUCAUAAUUUCAUACAAAAUGUCCAAUAUAAACUACUCACAGUACAAAAAUGCCACCGUGUGUAGUUCAGCAUAAUUCCAGUGCAUUCUAGUUUACUUUGAGGCGGUUUAGUCUGGGAGAUGGAUGAGUAAUAGAUUUUCUGAGUAAAAAACGUUGACUAUGAGGUUUGAUACAGGAAGGUGUUGUCUAGACAGGGGGUUUCAUGGCGGGGUUUGUGCUCCUGAGAUUCAAAACAAAAAAACCCACAAGGACACUCGGACAGCUGUUUUAAAGUGGAUUAGAAAUCAAGAUUUAGUUUCAUUGGUUGUCUUGUCGACUUCUCGGUUAAACACACAGAGAAAUAAUAUUUCAGCUCGAUGAGUUCAUGACACAACGUCUGCUAUCUCUUCUCUGCGGAAGAUUUGUCUGUCCCGCUCUCUCUUCGCCAGUUAUAACCCGGUACGACCCGGGUUCACCUUCAGGAAGUUUAGUGUUCAGCCUCGACCAAAGCGUUUGUCUAGAUCUCUUUUAUAUUAAAUGACCUGACCCAGUUUCACAAUUUCUCCUGCUUUGAGAUGUUCAAUCAUUCCCCAAGGUCAUUCUGUGGGGUUUUAAGACAUGUUUUAUUUUUUUAAAACCCUUUCUGAGUUCUGAACCAUUUAGGAGAGUACUGAACCAUUUAGGAGAGUACUGAAC